GACAGAGGAUGCAAGCGUUAUCCGGAAUGAUUGGGCGUAAAGAGCUCGUAGGCGGUUUGUCGCGUCUGCCGUGAAAGUCCGAGGCUCAACCUCGGAUCUGCGGUGGGUACGGGCAGACUAGAGUGAUGUAGGGGAGACUGGAAUUCCUGGUGUAGCGGUGAAAUGCGCAGAUAUCAGGAGGAACACCGAUGGCGAAGGCAGGUCUCUGGGCAUUUACUGACGCUGAGGAGCGAAAGCAUGGGGAGCGAACAGG
rnacentral:rRNA from 1 species